GAGAGAGACAUGCGCGCAUAUCAAUAAGCGGAGGAAAAGAAACUAACAAGGAUUCCCUUAGUAACGGCGAGUGAAGCGGGAAGAGCUCAAAUUUGGAAUCUUCAAGGUUCUACCUUGACGAAUUGUAGUUUAUAGAAGUGUUUUCUGUUAGUGGAGUGGCGAAAGUUCUUUGGAAUAGGACAUCAUAGAGGGUGAGAAUCCCGUAUUUGGUCAUUCCUCCUAGCGUUGUGAUACACUUUCAACGAGUCGGAUUGUUUGGGAAUGCAGUCCAAAAUGGGUGGUAAAUUUCAUCUAAAGCUAAAUAUUGGCGAGAGACCGAUAGCGAACAAGUACCGUGAGGGAAAGAUGAAAAGAACUUUGAAAAGAGAGUUAAACAGUACGUGAAAUUGUCAAAAGGGGAAGCGUUUGACACCAGUGUUGGUUUUCCGAAAAUCAAUUACGAAUGUUUUAGUUUUUAAGGAGUUAUGACUCCAUCGGCUUGCUCCUUUCUUUAUGAAACUUUCUUAAUGCACUUUUCGGUUAACAAGUCAACAUCAAUUUCUUUUGUUGUAAAAGGGUAUGAGGAAGGUGGCUUUCUUUUCGGAGAAAGUGUUUAUAGCCUUGUGCCUCUGCAAUCGGAGAGAUUGAGGUCUGCAGCGUAGAUCCUUCGGGGUUAGAUACAGUUUGUGCUAAGUUAUAGCUUUUCAUAGACAACUUGUUGACUAUGUUUAGUCUUGUAGCUUACUCGCUUAUGCUAUUUUACCUACGCUUAGGAUGUUGAUAGUCACAGCGUGUAC
rnacentral:rRNA from 1 species